rnacentral:misc_RNA from 1 species
AAGUCGUAACAAGGUCUCCGUAGGUGAACCUGCGGAGGGAUCAUUACCGAGUGCGGGUCUCUCGACCCAACCUCCAACCCUUUGUUAAUGAAUAUACGUUGCCUCGGGGGGCGGCCCGGCUUUGAUCAGCCAGGAGUCCCCCGAAGGUCCCAACACACUGCAUCAUUGCGUCGGAGUAUUGAAUAACAAUCAAUCAAAACUUUCAACAACGGAUCUCUUGGUUCUG